rnacentral:lncRNA from 1 species
AGCCCCUAGCGCAGACGGCGGAGAGCAGAGAGGGAGCGCGCCUUGGCUCGCUGGCCUUGGCGGCGGCUCCUCAGGAGAGCUGGGGCGCCCACGAGAGGAUCCCUCACCCGGGUCUCUCCUCAGGGAUGACAUCAUCCGUCCACCUCCUUGUCUUCAAGGACCACCUCCUCUCCAUGCUGAGCUGCUGCCAAGGGGCCUGCUGCCCAUCUACACCUCACGAGGGCACUAGGAGCACGGUUUCCUGGAUCCCACCAACAUACAAAGCAGCCACUCACUGACCCCCAGGACCAGGAUGGCAAAGGAUGAAGAGGACCGGAACUGACCAGCCAGCUGUCCCUCUUACCUAAAGACUUAAACCAAUGCCCUAGUGAGGGGGCAUUGGGCAUUAAGCCCUGACCUUUGCUAUGCUCAUACUUUGACUCUAUGAGUACUUUCCUAUAAGUCUUUGCUUGUGUUCACCUGCUAGCAAACUGGAGUGUUUCCCUCCCCAAGGGGGUGUCAGUCUUUGUCGACUGACUCUGUCAUCACCCUUAUGAUGUCCUGAAUGGAAGGAUCCCUUUGGGAAAUUCUCAGGAGGGGGACCUGGGCCAAGGGCUUGGCCAGCAUCCUGCUGGCAACUCCAAGGCCCUGGGUGGGCUUCUGGAAUGAGCAUGCUACUGAAUCACCAAAGGCACGCCCGACCUCUCUGAAGAUCUUCCUAUCCUUUUCUGGGGGAAUGGGGUCGAUGAGAGCAACCUCCUAGGGUUGUUGUGAGAAUUAAAUGAGAUAAAAGAGGCCUCAGGCAGGAUCUGGCAUAGAGGAGGUGAUCAGCAAAUGUUUGUUGAAAAGGUUUGACAGGUCAGUCCCUUCCCACCCCUCUUGCUUGUCUUACUUGUCUUAUUUAUUCUCCAACAGCACUCCAGGCAGCCCUUGUCCACGGGCUCUCCUUGCAUCAGCCAAGCUUCUUGAAAGGCCUGUCUACACUUGCUGUCUUCCUUCCUCACCUCCAAUUUCCUCUUCAACCCACUGCUUCCUGACUCGCUCUACUCCGUGGAAGCACGCUCACAAAGGCACGUGGGCCGUGGCCCGGCUGGGUCGGCUGAAGAACUGCGGAUGGAAGCUGCGGAAGAGGCCCUGAUGGGGCCCACCAUCCCGGACCCAAGUCUUCUUCCUGGCGGGCCUCUCGUCUCCUUCCUGGUUUGGGCGGAAGCCAUCACCUGGAUGCCUACGUGGGAAGGGACCUCGAAUGUGGGACCCCAGCCCCUCUCCAGCUCGAAAUCGGCAGACUAGGAUGGAAGUGCCCUGUGAGCUGGGGGGCCCUUCAAAGGGCCAAGGAGAAAACGCAGGCCGAGGGACCAGCCUUCCAAAUGGGCUUCAAGCUCCAAUGACCUCCGCUCGCCCCCUCGAAAUGUCUGGAAAACAUAAUGGGCAGAUUUUCUGUCUUCAAAGUUUCCGGCUAAACCUCUUCAAGUUCUUUAUUGUUUGGGACUGAGACACUCAGCCAUGUUAAUGGGUAGUUUCUUUUGUAUUUGCCUUGAAAGGCCAAAAUAUUUUUAUAUUGCCACAGACAAAGCCACCUAUUUAAAAAUGAACUCCAUGUCCGUCGUUUCCCACCAGGAGACUAUGUACCAUGUGUGUGUCUCUAUGUAUUCUGGGGUCUUGAAACAGGUUUCUCAUGGGGAUGGUCAUUCACCACGGUCCAGAGGGGCAGAACAGGCGGCGCUUGCCUUGCCCAGGGGGCCUGGGGAACGUGGGCCCUCAUCUCAGAUCUGCCCCCAGUAUGUUUAGGACGCGAGCCCCAGAAGGAUCUGGGAGUAAACUUAACAUUCACUGUGUCUCUGCUCUGCAUCCGCCAUUUGUGUGUGUUUCUGGACUGUGGGCUGUGUGUACCUUGGUUGGUGACUCAGUGAGAAGAAGCAGGAAUGCCAAAGAUACUGUGAAUGUUCUGAGUUUUGUUGCUGUUGUUGUUGAGAGGUUGUUUCACUGGUAUCUAUUGCAUUGUAUAAUAAAUGACCAGAUGAAUGAAUGAGUGAAGCAAGAGAGAAUGAAUAAACAAGUAAAUAGGUAAAGAAGUAAGCAAGCCAGGAUGAGAGUGUGUGUACACAAGACCAUGGUUCAUCCGCUUUGAUGGCUAGGCAAUCAAUAUAUAAAUAGAAAAAAACCAGUGAAUCACUAAGUAAUAGGGCAACACACAAAGCGAUAUCAGGUGAUUAUGGACUAAGGGGUAUGUGUAACUCAAAUAUAUGCCUCUGACAUUUGACAAUGAAAAAGAACCUAAAUGAAAGAAAGAAUGGAUGUAUGAGUAGUGAAGUGCAGAAUGAGACAUAGAUUUUGAGGCCCGUCAAAAUGAAAAGAUGCAAGUUAGGGAACAAGUGAUCAAAAGGGAGAAGGGAAAGGUUUUUUUUAAAAAACCAAAACAACAAAGAAAGGUUAAAAAAAAAAACAGACUAGAGGAUGAGUAAUGAGUAACUCUGUAAGGAGGACCAUGUCAGACUAUUGUAAGCUAAGCAUUAGGACUGAUACAAAUAAUAUAUGCUCCUGGCAUAGAAAAAUAAACCACAGAGAACGAGUUCAAAGAAUAGCAAAGAAAGAAAGAGGACCCAGUGGGCGAAAGAUGAGAGUGUACUUUUACCAAAAGUUAUCUAAGCCUGAGCACUUGAAGUCUGCACAUAAAUAAAUAAAUGACAAAAGAAAGAAAAAAAGGCCAAAAAGUCUACAUUGCGUGUGUGGAUGGAUGAAUGAGCAGUGGGAGUGCAGCGCCAGGUGACAAGAUGUUGUGAGGGGUUUUGAGUCAUCCAGUCCUGGGCACUGAGGUCUGUUAGAUGAAAGGAUAUGAGAAAGGUAAUAUUGGUAAAUAAAGAAAUAGGAAACAAUGUAACAAAUGUUAAGUACAGAAAUACAUUAAUGGGUGGUAAAUAAAGAUGUAAAAGAAGGCAAUGCGAUCGAUGGUGGCAAAAGAUCAUCACAGAUUAAGGGCUAUGGCUGGUCCACUUCUAGAAAACCACAGGCUGUCCAUUAAAUAAUGAACAUCUAAGUGAACAAGUCAGUGAGUACCUAAAUAGACAAGGAUGAGGUGAAUGAGAAGACAUGGCCCCAUGGGUCCUCCUGAUGAGGGUGUUGGGGUCCCCCCUGGGCACCCCAGCUGCAUGAAAAUGAAGGACAGGAGGUAUGGAAAGCUAUGACAGAAGAGAGAAAGGAACGGUAAAAAGAAAUAACAACCAAAUGGAUAAAUGGGUAGAUCCACGAGAAGAGUUAGGCUAGGACUUGUCAUAAGGGCACCUGACUCCACUAAUAGAGGAAUAAAUGCCUAAUAAAAAGAGAGCAAGCAGGAAGGAAGGAUGCUAUGAAUGCAGGAAGGAAGUAAUGAGUGAGACGUGGAACCGCACGGCCAAGGAUGGACGUUUGCGGGUGGCUUUUUGAUGCGUACAGCCAAGCCACUCCAUGGCAAUGAGCUCCGAAGACAAAGUGCAAGAGAGAAUGAGUGAGAGAGUGAGAGAGAGAGAAACAAUAAAAAAUGGGAAGAAAUGUAAAAAGGAAGAAAGGAAGAGAGGUAAUAUAUUAAGGAAUAAAUACAUGCAUGCAGAUUUAAGACAGAGCCAUGCUAGAACAGGAAUGAAAGGCUGUGUGAACCAAGCAGACCGCUUAAUUGGCACCAGUGCUGCUGGUAUGGUCAAUCACCUACUCAACUAAGGAACGGCUCAAAGCAUACACAUGGGAGGGAGGAGUGGGGCCACAGAGAGAGGGCCCAUUAGUUGCAGAUUACGAUGUAUCCAGUUAGGUGCACCUGCCUUCGAGAAGUGUAAAAAUAAGUAUUUACAUAGAAAGAAAGACUGAAUGGAUGCACGGUGAAUGCAUGAAUGAUUGAACGACAGAAAAGAUUUGCAUUGACCGAUGAGGAGGGCAUUGUAGACAGGGAUGAGGGUCAUUGAUCCUGGGUGCAGAUCUCCAAAAGAAUGACAGAAAGAAAGAGGGAGUGGUGGAAAGAAACAAUAGGAUGGGAAAAAAUGAAAAUAGAAAAAAGGAAGUGAAAGAGAUAAUAAAUAAUUAGAUCAAAUAAGUUGAUGAAAGGGGACUGGUUUAGCACAAGCCAUCCACAUUAAUUCAAACCUGUGGCUCUGAAGUUUGUUUUUUAAAUGACCACAAGUGUAAGACUGAAUGAAAGAAUAAAUGCGUGCAUUCCAUAGGAUGCAAGAAAAGGAGUGAGGAAUGGGAAAAUUGGAAGAACGAGAGAGGGAGAGAUGUAAGAAAAGAAAGGAAAAGUGAAGUAGGCAUAUGAAAGAAAAGGCACUUCUUGGACAAGCACUGAAAUAUAAUGAGACAGUUUUACCCAUUAAAUAUAAUAAACAGUAAACGUUGAGGUUCAUCAAUAAAAGCACAGAUACCUGAAUAGAGGAGUGACCUGAAUAGAAUUCGUUCAGCCGAACGAAUGAGAAUGGAUGAUUUUCACUAUCCUGUGCACUCAAGGCCCAAAAGAGAAAGCAAGAGAGGAGAGAAUAUGGAAACGUAUGACAGGAUGUAUAUAAGCAAUACAAACAUAUUGAAUGAAUAAAUAAAGACAUAAAUAUGUGGGAGAGUGGACCACGCAAGGACAAAAAGAGGAGAGAAGGCAGCAAGAAUUAUGACUAAUUCAAAACUGGGUUCCUGAGAUAGUUAAAUAAAUCCUGCACCAAAUCCCCAGGGGGAGAAAUUAACAAACAAAAGACAGCCCCACACGGACCAGUGUGCAGAAGGCUCCAGGAACCGCAGAUUAUGGUUAAUCCAAUUCUGUGCACCUGAGGUCCAUAAAUAAAAGAAUAAGUAUUGAAAUGAAAGAAUGACAGAAAGAAUGAAUGGACACAUGAACGACUGAAUUAGAAAUGGAAAUGCCUGGCACAGCCAGGAAGGAGCUGCCCAUGGGAUUGUCAUUCAUCUCACUCUGGGCACCUGAGGUCCAUAAGCGUGAAAAGAGGCAGGAAGAGAAGUGUCAGGGAGUCAAAGAUAGAGCUAAGGAAAGGCAAAAAUGAAACUAAAUGAAAGCGAAAGGGAAAAUAAAGAAAAACCAAUAAAAAAGAGAACGAAUACGUGGGUGUAUCUGUAAGAGUAGGAUCUGUUAGGAUUAGUCAUAAGACUGUCAGUAAUCCUGAAGAUGGAUGAGAUAAUCCAGGCCCAGGUUCCCAGGGGGAGGGAAAAUGGAGAAAAUAUAAAAAGAUGUGAAAAAGGAAAAAGGAAAGGUAAUAAACAAACAACCAAAGUGAUAAAUGGAUAGUUAAGGGAGGUUGUCUGAACAGGGAUUAUAAUUAGUUUACAUACAUACUCCUUAAACAGAUAAAUACAUUACACCUUUCAAAGAAUAAAUGAAAAAUAGAGAGACAUACCUGGCUCCAAAACAAGGCUGUAUCUUCUGCCACUGUAAUAAAAUAGAUGCAAUUGAGGUUCAUAAAUAAAAGAAUAAAUACUUAAACGUGAAAGGUGACUAAAUGCGGGGAAGAAAGAUUGCAAAUAAAUACAUGGGCCAAAGAUGUUUGGUUUGCCCAUGGAGUUUUAAUUAAAAAAAUUAAUAAGGAAAACAAAUACCCAAAAUAAGGAAGACUGACAAAUGAGUGAGUGGAUGAGAGAGUGAAUGGUGCUUGACGUAGGAGCAGUAGUGCUUUAGGGACCAGCAUGAAGGUGGUGACCGGGAGCCCUGAUUCAUGGGAUUCUGUCCACCUGACUUUAUAAGAACCAAGAAUGGCUGGGAAUGGUGGCUCACGCCUGUAAUCCCAGCACUUUGGGAGGCCGAGGUGGGCGGAUCAUGAGGUCAGGAGUUUGAGACCAGCCAGUUUGAGAUCAGCCUGGCCAACAUGGUGAAAUUCCAUCUCUACUAAAAAAAUACAAAAAUUAUGGGCGUGGUGGCACCUGUCUGUAAUCCUAGCUACUCGGGAGGCUGAGAGAGGAGAAUUGCUUGAACCCGGGAGGUGGAGGUUGUAGUGAGCCAAGAUUGCACCACUGCACUCCAGCCUGGGCUACAGAGCAAGACACUAUCUUAGAUCAAAAAAGAAAAAAAAAAAAAGAAGGAGAAAGAACCAGAGAAACAUAAGGAAGAGUGAGAGGAAGAAAGAAAGAUGCAAUUUGGGAAGAAAUGAAAAAGAAAUGAAUAAAGAAUAAAAUAAUGUAACGGUCAAUAAAUAGGACUUGUGAAUGGAGGCCUUUAGGCCAAAGGCUAUGAUUAAUUUCAAGCUAUGUUACUGAAGUCCAUAAACAAAGGACUCAGAUCUAAAUGGAUGAACGAAUGACUGGAAGAAAGGGUGGUAGGAAGGUAGGAAGAAAGGAAGGAGGGAAAAAGGGAAGAGAGGAAGGAACCUUCUUUCCAGUCCUGUGUUCUAGACAGUGGAAUGAAGUGGUCCCCAGGGAGGGUGGCUGUAGGCAUGUCAUGUGCUUGUCACAUGCACUUGCCCUGGCAGGGAGGAGCUGGCUCAGGAAGACCCUGGUCUUGGGGUGCUGUUGCCCUAUCUUGGCUGUGUGGGCCAUUUCACUGCAUCUGUCUCUUCCUCAGUUUCCCCAUCUGUAAACCUGGAGUGGCACCAGCUGCCUACUAGAGUUGAUCUUAUGUGUCUCUGUUGAUGGUACCCCAUCUAUGGCCUGGAUAGGCAGGAAGGGCUUGGACCCUGAGCCCCGCAGAAGGUUGCAUGAACGAGUGGUGUGAAGCCUGUUGGGUAGCUUGGCCACUCCCGCGGCAUGGGUCACCUGCACAGGAGGUUUUGCCCACCAGGGGGCAGCAGAGGGUCAGGGAGCAAUAGGCCCUGGGUGGAGCAUGGGCCCCGCCUGCUGUGUGCCACCCUGGGUGUGGCACCUACUCACAUCCAGGGGUUGGUGCAGGGAAAGGCCAGAAGGUGGCCAGGCGCACCUGAGAAGGGGGACCCAGAAGCCCCGGGACCCAGGAGCCCUGGGCAAGCCACCAGAAACCUUGUUCUUGCAACUCUCUGCAGUGUGCCCAGGCCACCCUCUGGCCUGGUCUUCCAUGGGGCAGGGCGCCCACCCUUCUCAACUCAGGUUUCCCUGGGCAGCAGGUGCACCUCAGCACCCCUGGGGUUGCAGAAGUGGUCCGGGGACCCUGGCUUCCUUGACAUGCCAUCCCCAGAGCCUGGUUCAAGGCCUCUCUGUCUUCUCGGCUGUUUCACGACGUGUUUUGUAACUUGGCGGGAUUGCGUUUCGCUGUGUCGAGGUUGUCUCUUCUCUGACUCGCCCUCCGGGGGACUGCCGGGGUAAAUCUGGAGAGUUGCUCGUGCUGACAGUCCUCCCCCAGGGCCUCCCCGGUUCUGUUGAGUCUCCUUUCUCUGUAGUGGAGGAAAUGUGUGUAGUUUUGUGUUGUGUGCCUGUGUUUGUCUGUAAAAGCAAGGACCAAAGUCUCCCUUGUUGACCUCUCAAUUCCUAUUUGGGACAUAUAAAAACACUGGAUUCUUAACAAGCGCCCGGAGCAGUAGGAGCACAGCUUGGAUGGACUCAGGACUUGUGGCAGGGAGCACGUGGGAGGCAGGGGAGUGGGGUGGGGCCAGGCCAUCUGGAGUGGGAGGCGUCAUGCUCAGAGUGACUCUGUAGACGCUGGGUGGGAUGGGGAGUGCGGGCGCAGGCAUGGAUGGGGCUGUUAGCUAGUGUGAUGCUUGAGGUCUGAGCUGAUGGCAGCAAAGUGGGGUGCUCAGGAAUCAAAGCUAUGGGGUUAUAGACAGGAUAUGAAGGAGGGAGGGAGGCAAGAAGAAGGGGGUGGUUCCCACGCUUCUAGCUCCGGCCGAGUGGAUGGCAACAGCAUUUGGAAGGCGGAGGACAUGGAAUUCAUGUGUCAGGAGCCACCUUCCGAGCCUCCAGUACCACGUGUCAGGGCCACAUGAGCUGGGCCUCGUGGGCCUGAUGUGGUGCUGGGGCCUCAGGGGUCUGCUCUUCUUCUCUUUCAGAAUCUGGGGCUCCAGGCUAUGCCUUGGCUGGACUGAGGUCUGGGGGUGCACUUAUUAUCCCUGGGGACACCUGCUGAAGCUUCUCCCUGACAAGCUGUGUCACUGUUGGAUGAGGAUGGGGCGGGAGGGGUUCAGGGCAGAAGAAGACCGGGAGGGUCUUUCAAAAGAACUCAUGUACGGCUGUUAAAAAAAGUCAGCAGAGGCUCAGGAAGACUUAAAGUGUGCAGAAGGCGGGGAAGGGAGGGCCCAUUGCAUGCACCAAGAGGAAAUUGGAAGGAACAAGCGACGUUGGCUGCUAGGAGAGCCUGCUCCCAACAUCUAGGGGCUGUCCUGACGGGUCACAGUGGGUCGAACUGAGCCAAUGAGAGCAGCUCUGGGGAGACCCACUGGUGCCCUGGAGGCUGGGUGGGUUUGGGUUGGAUGAAUUCUGUGUGUCCUUUUGGAAAUGUGGAGGCCAUGAGGGGGGAUCAGGGCUCUUAGGGUUUUGACCCUUAAGAGUUUUGUAUCUGUAAUUCAAAGGUUCUUUAGUUCUGGGAUGCUGAGAUUCGGGAUAGGGUUCCUAAUGGCACAAAAGCCAGAGAUAAAACAUCCUUCACGUGCUCCCUACCCGGUUCUUUCUGUACCAGACCCACAAGGUCCGAGUUGGGAUCCUAGUGCUCCUGUCUGGUCAGGGCCUAUCUUUAUGUGUUCGUUAAACUUUUAACAAUGAGAAUUAAUUCUGUCUCUUGACAUUGUCAUUUGCAUGCUCCCCACACACAAAUCCUUUCCUGGUGACACCAGGAGCUACAACUCUCCUUGGCCUCCUCUUGUGACUCCCAACUCCCUCCUUGGGAAGCUUGGCCUCAGGACCUCUGGGAUAGACAGGCCACGAAUCCUGCUGUGUCCCGUUGUGUUCCUAAUAUAAAUGGUGUGGAUGGCACUUGACCUAGAGCAGUGGGAAAUGCAUGCACCACUCAACAUUCUGACAUGUCACCCAUUUUACAUUCUUACAGGCAUACUUUUUUUAAAAAAAGAGUGUCUAUUCUUUAAUGAGCAUCCCUUCUUUAAAAAAACCUAAUUGCCAUUAUUCACCACAUACACUUUUUUUUUUUUGUAUCCUGCCUCUUCUAUUUAAUUUUCUGUCAUCAACAUUUUCCCUUGUUCCAUGAAUCUUCAUAACCUCACUUGCUGCGUUGUGCCUUGUUGAGUGGCUAUGGCAUCAUUCACAGAACCAUUCUGUUAUUCUUAUGUAUAACCACCUUUUAAAAAUAUUAUGAAUAAUGCCACAACUAACUGCUUAAAACACCCUUUUUUUCAUUCUUAAGAAUUAUGUUCUUCCACCCAGAAAUUAUCAUUGCUUCACUACAGAUCAGUUUCCCCUGCUAGACUGUGAGCCCCAUAAGGGCAAGGAGCUUAUUGAAUUGGCCUUUGUAUCUCUGAUGCCCAACAUGUUGUAGACUAUAAAUAAAUGAUGAAUGAGUGGAUGGAAGAAUGGAGGAAGGAGCGAGUGAGUGAGUGUUUGGCUGAUGGAUAAGAGGGUGGAAGGAUAGGCGGAAGGAUGGAUUGGUGAAUGAAUGAAUGAAUUUCCUUUGGUUAAGUCUCUUGAAAGAAAGGCUAUGGAUCUUUGUAUGGAUGUUGAAUAAUUUCAGUAAGCUUACAGCAUUUUACAAUGUUCAGCAAUGUAUGACCACUUAAUUAAGAUAUGGCUAGUUUGUCUCUGUUAUAAAGUACUUUUGCAUUACUUUAACUUGCAUUGCUUUAAUUACUAAUGAUGGGUGAACACUUUGACCUAUGUUUGUUAACAAAUUGUAUUUUAUCUUCUGUGAAAAAAAAAAAAAA